UUAAUUGAAGAGUUUGAUCAUGGCUCAGAUUGAACGCUGGCGGCAGGCCUAACACAUGCAAGUCGAGCGGCAGCGACAUAAACAAUCCUUCGGGUGCGCUUAUGGGCGGCGAGCGGCGGACGGGUGAGUAAUGCCUGGGAAUAUGCCCUGAUGUGGGGGAUAACCAUUGGAAACGAUGGCUAAUACCGCAUAAUCUCUUCGGAGCAAAGAGGGGGACCUUCGGGCCUC
rnacentral:rRNA from 1 species